CAGCCGCCACGGUAAUACGUAGGGUGCAAGCGUUAAUCGGAAUUACUGGGCGUAAAGCGUGCGCAGGCGGUUCGUUAAGACAGAUGUGAAAUCCCCGGGCUUAACCUGGGAACUGCAUUUGUGACUGGCGGGCUAGAGUAUGGCAGAGGGGGGUAGAAUUCCACGUGUAGCAGUGAAAUGCGUAGAGAUGUGGAGGAAUACCGAUGGCGAAGGCAGCCCCCUGGGCCAAUACUGACGCUCAUGCACGAAAGCGUGGGGAGCAAACAGGAUUAGAUACCCCGGUAGUCCCUGUCUCUUAUAC
rnacentral:rRNA from 1 species